rnacentral:tRNA from 1 species
GGAUUAGUGUAAUGGUAGCACACCAGACUCUGACUCUGUUCGUGAGGGUUCGAAUCCUUCAUCC